rnacentral:pre_miRNA from 1 species
GCCCUUUUUAUGUUGUACUACUAGUGAACACACACAAAAAGCAGUGCAAUGUUAAAAGGGCAU